CGAGAACACACCAACAAAAAAAAGAAAAAAAAUCACACAACAUUCGACUUGCAUAACCGAGAACAGAGCAAAACAAACGGAUAGCACUGGGUGACUAAGGGAGAGGAUUCUCCAGGCUAAAGAUUGAUGCAGUCCACCUCUUCCAUGACAUCAGAUGACAGACUGGUCUGGCACGACCCCAUCAAUUGGUGGCGAAGAGACUAACUCCCAUGACGAGGGAAGCAACUGACAUGAUCAGGGUCGCCCACAUCAAGCGCUUGUUAGCGACGGUGGAGAUCGACGGGAGCAGUGCAUCAGCCCAACAAGCCAGCGAAACAUACAUCAACAGCAGGCCCAUGCUGAAGGUAAUGAGAUUUGUAACGAGAUACACCCCGAACACCACGUUCAAACGGUGGCAGUCAUUGGAAUCCAGCAUCAAUCCUCCGGUGGUGAUGCACAGAGCAAAUAUUGCAACUGAGAUCAAUUUUGGAAGAGCAGUCCCGUGCGUCGAGGGAGUGGAGAAGCAAGUUUCUUCUUUUGAGAUCGGGGCCAUUGAUG
rnacentral:lncRNA from 1 species